rnacentral:rRNA from 1 species
UAAGGGGUACUGCGGAGGAUCAUUACGAGUUUUGAAACGAGUUGUAGCUGGCCUUCCGAGGCAUGUGCACGCUCUGCUCAUCCACUCUACCCCUGUGCACUUACUGUAGGUUGGCGUGGGCUCCUUAACGGGAGCAUUCUGCCGGCCUAUGUAUACUACAAACACUUUAAAGUAUCAGAAUGUAAACGCGUCUAACGCAUCUAUAAUACAACUUUUAGCAACGGAUCUCUUGGCUCUCGCAUCGAUGAAGAACGCAGCGAAAUGCGAUAAGUAAUGUGAAUUGCAGAAUUCAGUGAAUCAUCGAAUCUUUGAACGCACCUUGCGCUCCUUGGUAUUCCGAGGAGCAUGCCUGUUUGAGUGUCAUGGAAUUCUCAACUUAUAAAUCCUUGUGAUCUAUAAGCUUGGACUUGGAGGCUUGCUGGCCCUUGCGGUCGGCUCCUCUUGAAUGCAUUAGCUCGAUUCCGUACGAAUCGGCUCUCAGUGUGAUAAUUGUCUACGCUGUGAUCGUGAAGUGUUUUGGCGAGCUUCUAACCGUCCAUUAGGACAACUUUUUAACAUCUGACCUCAAAUCAGGUAGGACUACCCGCUGAACUUAAGCAUAUCUAAAGACGGGAAAGGAA